rnacentral:rRNA from 1 species
GGGGUGCUCGAGUGGCGAACGGGUGAGUAACACGUGAGUAACCUGCCCUUGACUUUGGGAUAACUUCAGGAAACUUGGGCUAAUACCGGAUAGGAGCUCCUGCUGCAUGGUGGGGGUUGGAAAGUUUCGGCGGUUGGGGAUGGACUCGCGGCUUAUCAGCUUGUUGGUGGGGUAGUGGCUUACCAAGGCUUUGACGGGUAGCCGGCCUGAGAGGGUGACCGGCCACAUUGGGACUGAGAUACGGCCCAG